GGGGACGCUCCGGGGCGAGGAGUUUUCGGUCUGCAGUCACCCGGCCCCGGGAGCCAAGCUAGAGGAGGAAGACGGGCCGGGACAGGGGUGGUGCUCGCCAAGCCCCCCGCAACCUGGGCACCCGCUAGCCCUUUCGUCCCCGCACCCCGACGCUGGGCACACGACUCCGGCUGCUUCCCGAGCGCCGCUCCGGGAGCGGGCACAUCCCCGCAGCUGUCUGCCGGACAGGUCUUGGGGGACGACGGCCCCUUUUCUGCAGCGGGUGGGGCGAGAAGCUACGGGAUAUGGAGCUCCCAGAUAAGGGAGUGUCCCUGCCCGCCGCACUGCAAGGGCGGCCGAGCGAUUAGGCACGGCUAGCGGAACCGAGCGGCGGUGGCUGUGCUUUCCCCACGCUCCUGUCACUGUGGUUAAGCCGCCAGCCCCGCGGCAGCCGCUCCACAGCCCACUCCCGGGCCUGGGCUCUGACCCGAUCGCCUGGCUCCGCCCUGUUGCCCCUCAUAACAUCUCCCGCUGCAAACCGCCCAAUCCGGUGACGCUACGAGAGUAUGCGAACCAAUCAGGGGCUACCGCUCAGGUCUUCUGCCCCGCCCCUCUGCCUCCCUUCCCACCCUGUCUCGGGAGGUGGCUCACCACCAGCUCUGAUCCCUAGAGGAGCCUCUAGCUGUGGGGAUGGUGCUUGGCACCUCUUCACCACCCCUGUCCUCUCCCCAUCUUAUGCACGUCCCACCUCCAGGUCUCUGCCCUGCUGAUGCUAUUGAGGGUCAUUUCGAUCCUCACUGACAGCUUUUGUGUCUGAUUAACUGUCGCCACCAUCCUGAAAGAACAGAACAAAAACCUAGAUGCUGUGGAGCGUGUUACUUUUUU
rnacentral:lncRNA from 1 species